UUUUUAAAUAACUUCUGUUUGCGAUCUAAUGUGGAUUUUGUUCACCAUAUAAGAUAGAAAUAUUUAUAUUCAAUGUAAAAGAUCUUCAUGUGGAUCGUGCAUACAAAUAUAUAUACAAAUAUCUCACUGGAUUAUUACAAUUAAUGGCAAAAUGAAUGUGUGGAAAUGUAAACUAAUAUAUCCUACUGACACACAGCAGCAAAAGAUAAAUAAUUGGCUUAAAACAGUUUUUUUUUCAAUGUGAAAAUACUAACACUAAUACUUCUGCACAGUACUGUAUAUAUUAACAUUUUAUUAGUGUUAUUAUAAAAGAAUGAGUAUGCAGUUGUGACAACAAUCUAUAGAGUUUUUAAUGAGAGUUUGUUUAAAGCAAGGUUGUCUGUAUUCAGUGUUUAUAUAAUGUUUAAUAACUUUUAUAUACAUAUAUAAAUAAACCUAUGUAUGUUUUUGAUUCAACAGCUUCCACUGGAAAUCCUCAGGGAAGUUAUUUUGUCGGCGGGUGACUCUGCAUAUUUGACACUUUCUCUGGUUUGCAGAUGGUUUAGGGUUGUGCUCCGAAGUUUUUCGGAAAGCGGCACAGUUUGCCUGGCUAGACAUUGUGGCCAACUGGAAGAAUUGUCCUCCUGUCUCCUGACUGGAACGAGUUCAGACGGAUGUACAGCAUCAGGGAAUGCUUGCAGUGCAGAGCCCUUUUCAAGGUUAACCCACCAGGGUACAGGGAAGGGACCGGCGUGGUGAUCUUCUGGGCUUUUGUUUACACAGGAUUUUGUUCCAAGGACUUUUUUUUUUUUGCGGCAUGAAACACAUUUGUGUGUUAAGUUCAUUGAAGGGAAAUAACUGGUUUUGAUUAUUAAUUGAUGUAAUUUAAAGUUAAACUUUGCACUGUAUAAUGUUUUAAUAAAAAAGCUAUGGAAAACACGUGCAUGACAACAGGUUUCAGUCAUUUACAUCAGUCUAUCAUUCUUUAAGGUUUCUCAUAUUUGAUGAUAACAUGAUUUGCUAUGCAUUGCUCAUAAUGGAUUCUUAGUUUAGUUGUGACAGGAUUGUGAGGAUUAAUGAGGUUUUCAGUAGUGCAGUUCAGAAAACAAAUAACAGAAAGUAACAAGUGUUUUUUGGCAAGUUCUUUAGAACCUGUAUAGUUCCUUCCUUGCAAAAAGUAACCAUGGAUUUAUUGUAGUAAAAAUAUUUGUUGGCACAUUAAUUACUGUGAGCUGUAAUUAUAAAAACACCAUAGUUUUACUAUAGUUACUGUAGCAGAACCAUAGUAAAUUUUCGUAGGGGCCAAGGGAAUGUUCAGAAUAUUAUUGGUGACGUUCAGAGACUGGUGACAAUUUGUUACACACACGACACACACACACACACAUAUAUAUGUAUGUAUAUAUUAUUUGAAUAUAUAAAUCAAGGUACUCCAUGACUAUCUACAUAACCAUACUUCGCAUAAUAUUGCCGUGUCAUUUUCAAACCAGCAAGUAAUGCCGAGGUAGCGUCUACACUACAGCCAUUGAGGGAGUAGACCAUUUAAUUUUUUCUGUUCGUCGUAAUCCAAAACUCUUUGUAUUUAUACGGGAUGUUAUGGAAAUGCAACAAUAAAUGCAAAAACACAACAUGUAUAUUCACUUUUUAAUUUAUAUUAAAAGUUUAUUCAUCUUAGUGUCUACUUCCGCAUUCCAAUCCUGCUAAUAGCGUCAUAAUUCUCUAUACCAAUAAGCUGUAAAAUCGUCACUCAUCUGUACACCAAUAAGCUCAUCUUAAUCAUAAACCAAUAACCGCUGAGGUGGGCGGGGCGACACGUGUCGCUCCGCCCCAACGUGUCGCCCCGCCCCAUCGUCCAGACUGCACUCUGGGAUACUUGGGUAAAGGAGGUAUUGGGGUUUAAUUUUCCAAAGUAAAUGUUACAAAAAUAAUUCAAUCAACUGCAAAAUCUAUAUUAGGGCAGUUGAUAAUAGAAAAGGCGAAUAAAUCAAAAUACAAGUAUGCAUCACUUCAUAAUCGCAUAUUAAGAUGAUUAAUUUUCC
ensembl:lncRNA